rnacentral:rRNA from 2 species
GCAUAUCAAUAAGCGGAGGAAAAGAAACCAACAGGGAUUGCCUUAGUAACGGCGAGUGAAGCGGCAACAGCUCAAAUUUGAAAGCUGGCCCUUUCAGGGUCCGCGUUGUAAUUUGUAGAGGAUGAUUCGGCGAGGGCUCCCGCCUAAGUCCCCUGGAACGGGGCGUCAUAGAGGGUGAGAAUCCCGUAUGCGGUGGGCUGCCUUAGCCAUGUGAAUCUCCUUCGACGAGUCGAGUUGUUUGGGAAUGCAGCUCUAAAUGGGAGGUAAAUUUCUUCUAAAGCUAAAUACCGGCCAGAGACCGAUAGCGCACAAGUAGAGUGAUCGAAAGAUGAAAAGCACUUUGGAAAGAGAGUUAAAAAGUACGUGAAAUUGUUGAAAGGGAAGCGCUUGCAACCAGACUUGUCCGCAGUUGCUCAGCCGGUCUCCUGACCGGCGUACUCUUCUGCGGCCAGGCCAGCAUCAGUUCGGGCGGUCGGAUAAAGACCUCGGGAAUGUAGCUCCUCUCGGGGAGUGUUAUAGCCCGGGGUGGAAUGCGGCCAGCCUGGACUGAGGAUCUCGCUUCGGCAAGGAUGCUGGCGUAAUGGUUGUAAGCGGCCCGUCUUGAAACACGGACCAAGGAGUCUAACAUCUAUGCGAGUGUUUGGGUGUCAAACCCAUACGCGUAAUGAAAGUGAACGGAGGUGGGAACCCGCAAGGGUGCACCAUCGGCCGAUCCUGAUGUCUUCGGAUGGAUUUGAGCAAGAGCAUAGCUGUUGGGACCCGAAAGAUGGUGAACUAUGCCUGAAUAGGGUGAAGCCAGAGGAAACUCUGGUGGAGGCUCGCAGCGGUUCUGACGUGCAAAUCG